CGAGUUCCCUGGAACGGGACGCCGGAGAGGGUGAGAGCCCCGUACAGGCGGACGCCGAGCCUCUGUGAAACUCCUUCGACGAGUCGAGUAGUUUGGGAAUGCUGCUCAAAGCGGGNGGUAAAUUUCUUCUAAAGCUAAAUAUAGGCCAGAGACCGAUAGCGCACAAGUAGAGUGAUCGAAAGAUGAAAAGCACUUUGAAAAGAGGGUUAAAAAGCACGUGAAAUUGUUGAAAGGGAAGCGCCUGUGACCAGACUCGCGCCCGGCGUAUCAUCCGGCGUUCUCGCCGGUGCACUACGCCGGGCUCGGGCCAGCAUCGGUUCUGGUGGGGGGAUAAAGGCGGCGGGGAUGUGGCUCCCCCGGGAGUGUUAUAGCCCGCCGCUCAAUGCCCUCGCCGGGACCGAGGACCGCGCAUUGCAAGGAUGCUGGCGUAAUGGUCACCAGCGACCCGUCUUGAAACACGGACCAAGGAGUCAAGCAUUAGGGCGAGUGUUUGGGUGUAAAACCCGCACGCGAAAUGAAAGUGAACGUAGGUGGGAGCCUCGGCGCACCAUCGACCGAUCCUGAUGUCUUCGGAUGGAUUUGAGUAAGAGCCUUAACGCUUGGNCCCGAAAGAUGGUGAACUAUGCUUGUGUAGGGUGAAGCCAGAGGAAACUCUGGUGGANGCUCGCAGCGGUUCUGA
rnacentral:rRNA from 1 species